ACGAACGCUGGCGGCGUGCUUCACACAUGCAAGUCGAACGUGAUUUUUGUGGAAAUUCUUUCGGGAAUGGAAAUGAAAUGAAAGUGGCGAACGGGUGAGUAACACGUGAGCAACCUACCUUACACAGGGGGAUAGCCGUUGGAAACGACGAUUAAUACCGCAUGAGACCACAGAAUCGCAUGAUAUAGGGGUCAAAGAUUUAUCGGUGUAAGAAGGGCUCGCGUCUGAUUAGCUAGUUGGAAGGGUAAAGGCCUACCAAGGCGACGAUCAGUAGCCGGUCUGAGAGGAUGAACGGCCACAUUGGAACUGAGACACGGUCCAAACUCCCACGGGAGGCAGCAGUGGGGAAUAUUGCACAAUGGGGGGAACCCUGAUGCAGCGACGCCGCGUGAGCGAAGAAGGUUUUCGAAUCGUAAAGCUCUGUCCUAUGAGAAGAUAAUGACGGUAUCAUAGGAGGAAGCCCCGGCUAAAUACGUG
rnacentral:rRNA from 1 species